CCUACGGGUGGCAGCAGUGAGGAAUAUUGGUCAAUGGGCGCGAGCCUGAACCAGCCAAGUCGCGUGAGGGAAGACGGUCCUAUGGAUUGUAAACCUCUUUUGUCGGGGAGCAAAAGACGCCACGCGUGGCGUUCCGAGAGUACCCGAAGAAAAAGCAUCGGCUAACUCCGUGCCAGCAGCCGCGGUAAUACGGAGGAUGCGAGCGUUAUCCGGAUUUAUUGGGUUUAAAGGGUGCGCAGGCGGUUUGUUAAGUCAGCGGUGAAAUUGAGCGGCUCAACCUCUUAAGUGCAAUUGAUACGGGCAGUCUUGAGCAUAGUUGAGGUAGGCGGAAUUGGUGGUGUAGCGGGGAAAUGCUUAGAGAUCACGAAGAACUCCGAUUGCGAAGGCAGCUUACUAAUCUGCCACUGACAUUGAGGAUCGAAAGUGUGGGUAUCAAACAGGAGUAGAUACCCGAGUAGUC
rnacentral:rRNA from 1 species